CCUACGGGAGGCUGCAGUGAGGAAUAUUGGGCAAUGCCCGCAAGGGUGACCCAGCAACGCCGCGUGGAGGAUGAAGGCCGUAAGGUUGUAAACUCCUGUUAGAGGAGAAGAAUAGUACCGAUUGGAUCGGUAUUUGACUGUACCCUCAGAGAAAGCCCCGGCUAACUACGUGCCAGCAGCCGCGGUAAUACGUAGGGGGCAGGCGUUGUCCGGAUUUACUGGGGCUCAGGGGCGAUCAGGCGGCAGAGGUGAAAUCCGACAGAGUAACUGUAGAACUGCCUUUGAUACGGUUAGUCUUGAGUUCGGGAGAGAGAGACGGAAUUCCAGGUGUAGUGGUGAAAUACGUAGAUAUCUGGAAGAACACCAGUUGCGAAGGCGGUCUCUUGGUCCGAUACUGACGCUGAGGCGCGAAAGCGUGGGGAGCAAACAGGAUUAGAUACCCUUGUAGUC
rnacentral:rRNA from 1 species